GUCGCAGUGCGGCUCGUGGCCGCAGCUGUCUGAAAGGGCAGAGGGACAAGUAUACGCAUGCGUCUAUUCCUAGGCUGCUCGCUCUCAGACCCGCAGUGAGGUCUGACGUCAUUUCCUGCCGAAAGAUGAAUGGGAGGGCUGAUUUUCGAGAGCCGAAUGCAGAGGUUCCAAGACCAAUUCCCCACAUAGGGCCUGAUUACAUUCCAACAGAGGAAGAAAGGAGAGUCUUCGCAGAAUGCAAUGAUGAAAGCUUCUGGUUCAGAUCUGUGCCUUUGGCUGCAACAAGUAUGUUGAUUACUCAAGGAUUAAUUAGUAAAGGAAUACUUUCAAGUCAUCCCAAAUAUGGUUCCAUCCCUAAACUUAUACUUGCUUGUAUCAUGGGAUACUUUGCUGGAAAACUUUCUUAUGUGAAAACUUGCCAAGAGAAAUUCAAGAAACUUGAAAAUUCCCCCCUUGGAGAAGCUUUACGAUCAGGACAAGCACGACGAUCUUCACCACCUGGGCACUAUUAUCAAAAGUCAAAAUAUGACUCAAAUGUGAGUGGUCAAUCAUCUUUUGUGACAUCCCCAGCAGCAGACAACAUAGAAAUGCUUCCUCAUUAUGAGCCAAUUCCAUUCAGUUCUUCUAUGAAUGAAUCUGCUCCCACUGGUAUUACUGAUCAUAUUGUCCAAGGUAGAAACUUCUCUUGAAAUGAAUUUCAACAUUUUAUGGUCCAACGUAUGUAUAAACUUUAUUUGAUGACCUUUUCUGCUGGAUAUCACCUGUGUGUUCUACCAUCAAUCAUCAACCUAAACUCAGCAUGUUUGUUCAUUUGUUUCUUCAUUCAUUCAACUUUUCUUGAGGACCAGUAGGUGUCAAGGACUCUGCUAGACGUGGAAGAAGAUGAAUAACACUUGGUUCUUGUCCCUGAAAAACUCUCAGUCUGUUAGAAGAUAUAGAAAUACAAGGAUGAAUUACUAGUAUGUCCCAGUAAUUGAAAAUACUAAGGCAAGCUUAGUGGAAUAGUGAAGAAGAAAUGAUAAAUCGUGUCUCAGGAAGUAGAGCUCCAGGAAAGGUAUAAAAAGGUUACAUUUGAUAGGCUGGGUUUUAAAGGCUUUCAGCUUCCUUGUCUGUAAUACAAGAAAGAACUGUUGUCAAGUGAGAAAAUCCAUGUGAAAAUGCUUUGUGAAGUUUGUAAAUACUAGCUUUGAAGAUCACACAUGUAAGUGCAACAACAUCAAUUUUGUAUUAAGGCUUGGAUUUGAAUCAUGAUUGACAUUUGCUAGCUAUGUGACCUUGUAAUACUACUACUACAUUAUAAUAAUGUAGUAAUAUUAUUAUAACUACUUUAUGAUCCUUUCAGUUUCUUGAUCAGUUGAAUGGAGAUGAUAAUACCUCUCUUAAUGAACUGUUGGAAUUAGAGGAAAUAAUCAGAAGCAAUGUCUGGCAAAUAAUAGACUCAAAAAACAUUAGUUUCUUUCAUUCAGUCUAGUCGGCCGUAAAAGAUGAGGAAUUAGAAACGGGAAAUACAGGUCUAUAAUUCUUUAUCUAAAAUCCUGAAAUUCAGAAAGGUUUAAGCCAAGUUUUUUUUUGUUUGUUUGUUUUUUGUUUUUUGUUUUUUUUUGAGAGGGAGUCUUGCUGUGUCGCCCAGUCUGGACUGUAGUGGUGCGAUCUCGGCUCACUGCAACCUCCGCCCCCCGGCUUCACGCCAUUCUGCCUCAGCUUCCUGAGUAGCUGGGACUGCAGGUGCCCGCCACCACGCUCAGCUAAUUUUUUGUAUUUUUAGUAGAGAUGGGUUUUCACUGUGUUGGCCAGGAUGGUCUUGAUCUCCUGACCUCGUGAUCCGCCCGCCUCGGCCUUCCAAAGUGCUGGUAUUAUAGGCGUGAGCCAUUGUGCCUGGCCUAUUUUCAGUAUUUUUGUUUAAAUUUCGUAAAAUGGUAAAAUAAAUGAUUUUUGAAAAUAGCUGGUUUUCAUAGAGUCUGUGGUUAUAGGACUAUUUAACUAUAUAUUGAGUAAAAUCUAUGCUAUGUCAAGUUUUAUUCAGUUGUCCCUAGUAGAAUAUAUUUCUCUUUUAAUUCUGUAUACAGUAUGAGUAACUCCAGUUUAAAACACUGGUAUUUUAAUGAGUUUAAAUUGUACUGUUAUAUAUUAUGAUACAUAUUUUUCUUCUGGCUGUGGUUUAGUUUUUAAAAUUUUUGAUAUCCAUUUUAAUUUUUAGAAAUAAAAGCUUAAAAAUAUAGGUGGAAGUAGAUUUCAGUUUGAUAAUUAUCUUGGUGAAAGUAUAGUACCUGUGAAAUGGUGGUAAUAAUUUGAUUCUUUAUUCUAUUUUGAUUGUAGCUCCUUACAAAUGUAAGGAGCAUUUGUAAAAUUUAGUUGCUUUAGAGUUAUACAAAUCCUUUUAUUACCAUUUAUUAACUGUUUGUUGUUUUAGGACCUGAUCCCAACCUUGAAGAAAGUCCUAAAAGAAAAAA